rnacentral:lncRNA from 1 species
GUUCACUCACAGACAGCAAACCAAGGGGUUGUGCUGUCUCCUUGUCUCCCAGGGAUAAACCCACAUGACAGUUUACAAAAACAGGUAAUCAUAAGAAGCAAAUGGCCCAGAUGAAACACAGCAAAAGAAUGAGAAGUGGUAACACUGGGAGUGAAAUUUGAACCAAGCGUAAAUGGAGUGAUCGUAGAAAUAGCUGACUGUGGAAUGUGGACACUCUCUGUAUCUGCAGCCUGGGAAGCUUAAAGAAGGUGAACUUACUGACACCAGUUAGAAAGUGACUGUGAUGAAACGAUGAAGAUGCUCCAGAGGAAGUGACACCAGCAAUAGGAAAAAAAAAACAAACCUCUCACUGAAGGAACUCUCGGAGAUAUUUCAUGACACAGAAGGCACAAAGGAUACAAUAUUGGCAACUAAUCGAAACUUAGAAAUGAUAUGACAGCUCACCAAGGCAUAGAAAAAGAUGCUUGCUCUAUCAUAAGUUAUAGAAUGAGAAGAAGUAUAUCAGAAAACUCAAAUAUAACUCCACAACUUUUUCAAGAGUUUCUUUUUGUUUUCCAAUGGUAACGGGAGAGAAAAUAAGCUGUCAUUAUCGGAAUGAUCAAACACAGAGAGAAAAGAGGCAGAGGUGAGAAGAUGGAGAAGAUGAAUACAUUUGCUUUCAGCAAACCAAUGGAAGUCCAUUUGCAUGAUCUGAAAAGGAAAAUGAGAAGCUAAUUUUUCUAUACAAGGCAGAAUUUAAGAAAUACAAUUCCUAAGGACUCCAGUGGAUACAGCUCUGGUUCCUGGACUUCGUGUUUUGGCUUGGUCUUUCUGCUUUUUCAAUUUUGUCACUGGUGUGAUCCAGAGAACAUGCCUUUCACUGUGAAAACCAGCACCUUCAAGGCCAGGCGCAGUGGCUUGCGCCUAUAAUCCCAGCAUAUUGGGAGGCCGAGGUGGGUGGAUCACCUGAGGUCAGGAGUUCAAGACCAACCUGACCAACAUGGUCUACUAAAAAUACAAAAAUUAGCCCGGCAUGGUGGCGGGCGCCUAUAAUCCCAGGUACUCGGGAGGCUGAGACAUGAGAAUAGCUUGAACCAGGGAGGCGGAGGUUGCAGUGAGACGAGAUCACACCAUUGCACUCCAGCCUGGGCAACAGAGCAAGACUCCAUCUCAAAAACAAACAAACAAACAAACAAAAACACCACACAAAACCAGCACCUUCCACAGUGUCUAGCAUACGUUAGUCACCAAAACAGGUUUGCUAAAUGAACAAAUGAAUGAAUGGCAUUUUAUGUGUCAGUAAAUAUGCUUCAAAAUCAUGAUGUAUGAUGAGUAAGCAACUCUAUCAAAUAAAUAUAACGUAAUUUGCUGUGAGCACAUAAUUUGCUGUGUUCUAGUAUUGAACAGUUGGACUAUUUCCAUAUUUUAAUUUUUACUAUUAUGUUUGAGGAUGAUAUAUAAAUCUU